GGCUCUUUGAAAUUUAUAUAUAGAGAGUCGAGCCUGCCCAGUGAUAAUAUUAUUUAACGGCCGCAGUACCCUGACUGUGCAAAGGUAGCAUAAUCAUUUGCCCUAUAAUUGAGGGCUAGUAUGAAUGGUUUGACAAGAACAAAACUGUCUCUAGAAAAUUUUAUUAAAAUUAGUUUUUAGGUGAAGAAACCUAAAUAAAACUAAAAGACGAGAAGACCCUAUCGAGCUUAAAAGAUUAUUUAGAUUUACUGAUGUUCUUUUUGGUUGGGGCGACCGAGGAACAAAUAAAGCUUCCUAAGUUUU
rnacentral:rRNA from 1 species